rnacentral:rRNA from 1 species
AACGAACGCUGGCAGCAUGCCUAACACAUGCAAGUCGAACGAGAUCUUCGGGUCUAGUGGCGCACGGGUGCGUAACGCGUGGGAAUCUGCCCUUUGGUUCGGAAUAACAGUUGGAAACGACUGCUAAUACCGGAUGACGACGAAAGUCCAAAGAUUUAUCGCCAGAGGAUGAGCCCGCGUAGGAUUAGCUAGUUGGUGUGGUAAAGGCGCACCAAGGCGACGAUCCUUAGCUGGUCUGAGAGGAUGAUCAGCCACACUGGGACUGAGACACGGCCCAGACUCCUACGGGAGGCAGCAGUGGGGAAUAUUGGACAAUGGGCGAAAGCCUGAUCCAGCAAUGCCGCGUGAGUGAUGAAGGCCUUAGGGUUGUAAAGCUCUUUUACCCGGGAUGAUAAUGACAGUACCGGGAGAAUAAGCUCCGGCUAACUCCGUGCCAGCAGCCGCCGUAA